UCAGCGCUAAAGAGGAUCUCGCGCACAAACAAAAUUUUCAAUCGCCAGCGUUCAGCGAUUUGCAAACCGCGCGCUGCUAAGCAUUUUAACAACGAAAUCAGUUUAUGCAUGAAUUUGAAACGCGCACGUGGUGGCAUUGCGAGUCAUUCGAACACUGCGCCUUACGUUUGCGUGAUCGUUAAAUAGCAACAAGCAAAAAAAAAAAACAAAUAAAAAUAUAUAUAUAAAAAUAAAUAAAAGUUACAAGAUUGAAAACUAAAAAUUAAACGAGCAAAGAAAAGCUAUAACGAAUUUUCAUUCGAAUAGCGUGGAAUUUCGCAAAACAUGUACACAAAAAUGCAAUAGCAACAAGUGAAUCGAAUAGCAGACAUUUUAUUCCACUCAAAUUCUAAAGCAAGUGUCGAAGCGCAAACAAAAAAAAAAA